rnacentral:rRNA from 1 species
GACGAACGCUGGCGGCGUGCUUAACACAUGCAAGUCGAACGGAGUGGCGACAGGGUGAGUAACACGUCGGUGAUCCGCCUUGCUAUCGGGGAUAAGCUUGGGAAACUGGGUCUAAUACAGGAUAGUACAAGAUGAUCUCGGGGCCUAUCAGCUUGUUGGUGGGGGAAUGGCCUACCAAGGCGUCGACGGGUAGCCGGUCUGAGAGUGUGUACGCGCACAUUGGGACUGAGAUACGUACCAGAAUCCUACUGGAGGCAGCAGUGGGGAGUAUUGCACAAUGGGCGGAAGCCUGAUGCAGCGACGCCGCGUGGGGGAUGAAGGCCUUCGGGUUGUAAACUCCUGUAGACAGGGACGCGGUACCUGUAUAAGAAGCACCGGCUAACUACGUGCCAGCAGCCGCGGUAAUUC